ensembl:lincRNA
CAAACAUUCACAUGCCUUCCCCACCAGUACCUGAGGCUCCCAUUAGAUAGAACAUCCAAAUUCAUCACUGCAGACCUGGUGGAGAACGCUGCCUCUGCCUCCUCUCUAGCUGGGUGACCUCAGCCCCUGUCCGAGCACCUCUCAGUCUGAGUGUGGUACAGCGGUGGUUUCCAGACCCCAGGGAAGGUGGACUAGAUGGCCCAGUUCUCCUCAUCACAGGUUUGCACAGGUUUGGGUACCAAGCCCACUCAGGUUCAACUACAGCCACCCAUCCUUUUCCUGAUGUAUGUUAUCUAUUGGGAGUGCUGAUGUCAUUUUCCAAUUAUUUGGUAAUAGUUCCCUCAAUUUGCCAUUAUCUGAGAGCACCUUGUGACGACAUGCUGGAAACGCACGAUGAGGGAGGAAGCACCAGUCCCCGUUAGGGUAUCUUUUAUCCUGAGGACUUCUCAGCACAGUAAAGGGACUAAAAUAAAAUGGUCAUUUGGGGAAUGUUCAUUGCUUCUGUUCUCAUGAAAACUAGAGAGAAGAAAGUAUCUAAAUUGUUCUGUUUUCCUUCUUUUUUUAAGUUUCCAUGGGCUGUCGCCUGAAUAAUCAUAUUUUUAAAAGAAGUCUCUAAUUCUAAAAGGCUGGAAGUUGCUGGGUCUCUGGGAAGACUGACUGUGUGCUUACAAGGCCACUGAGAGAAACUGCUGUGACACAGUGGUGAACAGGCAUUAGAACCGCAGCAGUUUUUCAGGUGCAACAGUCUUUGAGCAAAAAUACACAUUCUAGUUAAUUAUCAGGAUUCAAGAAGAAGUGUGACCAUGUGCCUAGCUGUUACUAGCAUUACAAGAAGCAGAACUGCCAAGGACAAGUUCCAAAGCCCUACGCCCUGGGGAAACCUCCCCCUCGCAGGACAUGGGUCAGGAGCACCCUCCAGUGUGAGGGUUGGAAGAGAGACCUCUCCAAAAAGGUUUUGGGAUGGGUCAGCAAGAAAAUAGGUUCAAUUAAAUUGCUGAUGUCUUGCGCUUGCCCUAGAAUCAUGAACUGUGUCUUCUUCCCUACCCCAAUCUAGAUUCACUCCAUAACUGUCCGAUCACCCCAGGAGACAGCAGCUAAGUGUGCAGUGUGUGUCCUGCUUCCCAGAAUGUGCCCUUAUUCCCCUUCCUUUGAGCUCCACAAUGCUCUGGCCAACAGCAGUUAAGGCAGGCAUGUCCAGCCCCAUCUGGAUGAAGAAACAGGCUCAGAGCAGUGAAGUGGAUUGUCUAGUUAUGCAGGCUGGAUAGGGUAGGCACCGGGAGCACAAGGGAUGGAGUCACACUGCUCAGGUUCACAUCUGGGCACUUCCACUUAAUUAGCUCAGUGACUUGGUCUUUGGUGACUCAGUUUCCUAUUUUUAAAGCUGAAAGAAUGCUAUCUGUUUCAUAGGCUAGUUGGUAGAUUAAGAGCCAGGGCAUCAUAAUCAGCAGAAUGUUUUGUACUCCUGAAUGCUCGAUAAAUACUAGCCACUACUAUUAUUAAGAACAUCAUUAUUCUAGAGGUCAACCACUGGACCCACUUCCUAAUCUGGUGCUAUUCCUCUAUCCACAAUUGUCCCCAGCUGCAGGUUCUUACAUCCUCCCUCCAUGCCAUCCUCCACUCUGACCCUGUCUUUCUGAUUCAAAACAGUGAAGAUGCAAUCUCUCUCCCUAAUUUCUGUGGCCUUUUGGCCACUGUUUUAGCGUUCUUGGAGGUAGGAGGGGAUUUGAUGUCUCUGCAUCUUACAGCACAUGCCUAAGAAGUGUCAUCAUUUUACAGCUGAGGAAACUGAGGCAGAGACAAGUUGUGAAAUUUGUUGAAAAAUGCAUAGCAAGGGAGUGGCAAAGUUA